rnacentral:lncRNA from 1 species
GGCCCACUGAGUCAGUAACUCCUUAGUAUGAAUUAGUCUAGCAGCAGAAAUAGUUAAGGAAGGAACUUAGGGUGGGGAUAGGGGUGGGGUGCAGAAAGGGAGAAAGUUUCCAAAAAAAAUGGUAGGGGAUCUAAAGCCAGUCUGGGUCUGUGGUUUUGCCGAGGUCCACGCCUGCACUGCUCAAAGAGCGCUCCGCAAGCUGCCGCCGCCACUGGCUUCUCCUGUCAGGCGGCGGAGGAAACGCAGAGGCUCUGGGGGAGGGGCAGGGACCACGGGGUGGGGCGGCGAGCAGCGCGGCUGAGAGCGGCCUCGUCUGCAUGGACGGCGGCUGCCGCGCCGGCUGCUCGCCGGGGACACAGGUUCCCGUGGAGGAAUGAAAGAGAUCAAGGGGAAGAGAGCUGCCAGCUCCCUGGGGCCCUGCACCUGCCAGCUGCCGCUACAUACUCUGAGAAACACUGCUGCCAGCUAGAGGGGAGCACCUGUCCCAGAACCUCAGGACCUGGGACGAGAACCUCUGGGUGACUCCUUGGAACAAUGAAUCGGACCACCUGUGGGUUCCAGCACUCCAGAGCCAGCAGUGCCUUCCUGAACAGCUCCACACCAUUGCUCUUCUUGGAUGAAGAAAAUGAGGCCCAGAGAGGUUAAGUGACUGCCCUAAGAUCACACAGGUCGGAAGUGCCUGAGCUCCAGGUCUCUGGACUCCAAG